UACGUAGGGGGCGAGCGUUGUCCGGAAUUAUUGGGCGUAAAGCGCGCGCAGGCGGUUUUUUAAGUCUGAUGUAUAAGUUCAAGGCUCAACCUUGGGACGCAUUGGAAACUGGGGGACUGGAGUGUAGGAGAGGAAAGUGGAAUUCCACGUGUAGCGGUGAAAUGCGUAGAGAUGUGGAGGAACACCAGUGGCGAAGGCGACUACCUGGCCUGUUCUUGACGCUGAGGCGCGAAAGCUAGGGGAGCAAACGGG
rnacentral:rRNA from 1 species